GAUGAACGCUGGCGGCGUGCUUAACACAUGCAAGUCGAACGAAGCACUUUAUUUGAUUUCCUUCGGGACUGAUUAUUUUGUGACUGAGUGGCGGACGGGUGAGUAACGCGUGGGUAACCUGCCUUGUACAGGGGGAUAACAGUUGGAAACGGCUGCUAAUACCGCAUAAGCGCACGGCAUCGCAUGAUGCAGUGUGAAAAACUCCGGUGGUAUAAGAUGGACCCGCGUUGGAUUAGCUAGUUGGUGAGGUAACGGCCCACCAAGGCGACGAUCCAUAGCCGACCUGAGAGGGUGACCGGCCACAUUGGGACUGAGACACGGCCCAAACUCCUACGGGAGGCAGCAGUGGGGAAUAUUGCACAAUGGGCGAAAGCCUGAUGCAGCGACGCCGCGUGAGCGAAGAAGUAUUUCGGUAUGUAAAGCUCUAUCAGCAGGGAAGAUAAUGACG
rnacentral:rRNA from 1 species